rfam:Clostridium sp. JC272 contig314, whole genome shotgun sequence.
UGGGUGGUAUUUUAAUUAAACUGCACCAAUUGGAUAUUAAAAAUUUUAUUAUAGGAAGCUCAUAUCUUUUUAGAAUGAGACUGAUUA